GACGUACGCUGGCGGCGUGCUUAACACAUGCAAGUCGAACGGAAAGGCCCUGCUUUUGUGGGGUGCUCGAGUGGCGAACGGGUGAGUAACACGUGAGUAACCUGCCCUUGACUUUGGGAUAACUUCAGGAAACUGGGGCUAAUACCGGAUAGGAGCUCCUGCUGCAUGGGGGGGGUUGGAAAGUUUCGGCGGUUGGGGAUGGACUCGCGGCUUAUCAGCUUGUGGGUGGGGUAGUGGCUUACCAAGGCUUUGACGGGUAGCCGGCCUGAGAGGGUGACCGGCCACAUUGGGACUGAGGUACGGCCCAGACUCCUACGGGAGGCAGAAGUGGGGAAUAUUGCACAAUGGGCGGAAGCCUGAUGCAGCAACGCCGCGUGCGGGAUGAAGGCCUUCGGGUUGUAAACCGCUUUAGCCUGUGACGAAGCGUGAGCGACGGUAAUGGGUAAAGAAGCACCGGCUAACUACGUG
rnacentral:rRNA from 1 species